rnacentral:rRNA from 1 species
AGUGAACGCUGGCGGUAGGCCUAACACAUGCAAGUCGAACGGCAGCACAGUAAGAGCUUGCUCUUACGGGUGGCGAGUGGCGGACGGGUGAGGAAUACAUCGGAAUCUACUUUUUCGUGGGGGAGAACGUAGGGAAACUUACGCUAAUACCGCAUACGACCUACGGGGGAAAGCAGGGGAUCUUCGGACCUUGCGCGAGUGAAUGAGCCGAUGUCGGAUUAGCUAGUUGGCGGGGUAAAGGCCCACCAAGGCGACGAUCCGUAGCUGGUCUGAGAGGAUGAUCAGCCACACUGGAACUGAGACACGGUCCAGACUCCUACGGGAGGCAGCAGUGGGGAAUAUUGGACAAUGGGCGCAAGCCUGAUCCAGCCAUACCGCGUGGGUGAAGAAGGCCUUCGGGUUGUAAAGCCCUUUUGUUGGGAAAGAAAAGCAGCAGGUUAAUACCCCGCUGUUCUGACGGUACCCAAAGAAUAAGCACCGGCUAACUUCGUG